GAGUAACGCUGGCGGUAUGCUAACACAUGCAAGUCGAACGAAAGUUUAUACUUUAGUUGGCGGACGGGUGAGUAAUACGUGAGAAUCUACCUUUAGGAAGGGAUUAACAAUUGGAAACGAUUGCUAAUGCCCUAUAUGCUUAGCAGUGAAACAGAUUUAUCUGCCUGAAGAUGAGCUCGCGCCUGAUUAGCUAGUUGGUAGAGUAAAAGCCUACCAAGGCAACGAUCAGUAGCUGGUUUGAGAGGACGAUCAGCCACACUGGGACUGAGACACGGCCCAGACUUCUACGGAAGGCAGCAGUGGGGAAUUUUCCGCAAUGAGCGAAAGCUUGACGGAGCAAUACCGCGUGAGGGAAGAAUGCCUGUGGGUUGUAAACCUCUUUUUUUAGGGAAGAAAAUAUGACGGUACCUAAAGAAUAAGCAUCGGCUAACUCCGUGCCAGCAGCCGCGGUAAUACGGGGGAUGCAAGCGUUAUCCGGAAUUACUGGGCGUAAAGCGUCUGCAGGUGGCUUAAAAAGUCUGCUGUUAAAUAUUAGAGCUCAACUCUGAGUAGCAGUGGAAACUGUUAGGCUAGAGUAUGGUACUCGGGUAAAGGGAACUCCAGUUGUAGCGGUGAAAAUGCGUAGAUAUUGGGAAGAACACCAGUUAGGCGAAAGGCGCUUUACUAGACCAUUUAACUGGACACUUCAGAAGACGAAAGCUAGGGGGAGCCAAAUGGGACUUAGAUUA
rnacentral:rRNA from 1 species